GGGAAUAUUGCACAAUGGGCGAAAGCCUGAUGCAGCAACGCCGCGUGAGUGAUGAAGGUCUUCGGAUUGUAAAGCUCUGUCUUUUGGGACGAUAAUGACGGUACCAAAGGAGGAAGCCACGGCUAACUACGUGCCAGCAGCCGCGGUAAUACGUAGGUGGCGAGCGUUGUCCGGAUUUACUGGGCGUAAAGGGUGCGUAGGCGGAUGUUUAAGUGAGAUGUGAAAUACCCGGGCUUAACUUGGGUGCUGCAUUUCAAACUGGAUAUCUAGAGUGCAGGAGAGGAGAAUGGAAUUCCUAGUGUAGCGGUGAAAUGCGUAGAGAUUAGGAAGAACACCAGUGGCGAAGGCGAUUCUCUGGACUGUAACUGACGCUGGGGCACGAAAGCGUGGGUAGCAAACAGGAUUAGAUACCCUGGUAGUCCACGCCGUAAAACGAUGAGUACUAGGUGUAGGAGGUAUCGACCCCUUCUGUGCCGCAGUAAAACACAUUAAGUACUCCGCCUGGGAAGUACGAUCGCAAGAUUAAAAC
rnacentral:rRNA from 1 species